AGACCUCCCGGCUCGACAGGCGGCGCGGGCGGCGGUAAAAUGUCGGUUCCAGGACCUUACCAGGCGGCCACUGGGCCUUCCUCAGCACCAUCCGCACCUCCAUCCUAUGAAGAGACAGUGGCUGUUAACAGUUAUUACCCCACACCUCCAGCUCCCAUGCCUGGGCCAACUACGGGGCUUGUGACGGGGCCUGAUGGGAAGGGCAUGAAUCCUCCUUCGUAUUAUACCCAGCCAGCGCCCAUCCCCAAUAACAAUCCAAUGAAUGCUAUUGGCCUUGUUUCCUGAGCAACCUGUGUUUGUCCCUCUCCCUUUCAUCAGUUACCGUGCAGACGGUCUACGUGCAGCACCCCAUCACCUUUUUGGACCGCCCUAUCCAAAUGUGUUGUCCUUCCUGCAACAAGAUGAUCGUGAGUCAGCUGUCCUAUAACGCCGGUGCUCUGACCUGGCUGUCCUGCGGGAGCCUGUGCCUGCUGGGGUGCAUAGCGGGCUGCUGCUUCAUCCCCUUCUGCGUGGAUGCCCUGCAGGACGUGGACCAUUACUGUCCCAACUGCAGAGCUCUCCUGGGCACCUACAAGCGUUUGUAGGACUCAGCCAGACGUGGAGGGAGCCGGGUGCCGCAGGAAGUCCUUUCCACCUCUCAUCCAGCUUCACGCCUGGUGGAGGUUCUGCCCUGGUGGUCUCACCUCUCCAGGGGGCCCACCUUCAUGUCUUCUUUUGGGGGGAAUACGUCGCAAAACUAACAAAUCUCCAAACCCCAGAAAUUGCUGCUUGGA
rnacentral:lncRNA from 1 species